CAGGUCUGGUGCCCCGGGUUGCACU
rnacentral:miRNA from 1 species